rnacentral:lncRNA from 1 species
UUAACCUCAUUGAGAUCACACCAAGCUUAAUAUAUAGGAAAGUCUUCAACUGCUGCUAUAAAUUAAAUGUGUCACAAAAACUUACAUUGUGCAAUUACCUGGAUAUAGAAACCAGAAAUACCAUAAGAAAAAUAUAUAAAUAAAAUAAAAGCUCAAACUACAAAUAAGUGCAUGCCAAAUGUCCAAAACUAUGCAACAACAUUAGCUUUUUGUUAAACUAUAACAAUUAGAGAAAUUGAAAUCCAUAAUUAAAGUUAAGUUCCUCAACUUCACAUCUAUGAUCUAUGUAUGGCAAAGGCAUAUGAUUCUCCCAACCCUUCUCCAAAAUUUUCUUUUGAUAAUAAAUUUGAUGGCAACACUAUGUAAAAUCAAAUCUGACUUAUCUGUUGUCUUUUUUUAUGCUGUCUAUGUGUUACCUAUUAAAAUUAUAAUACAUAAUAGUUGUGUUAAUAUUUAAUGGUGAUAUUUAAUUUUAAAAAUUAUAAAAACGAUAUAAUUUUAAAGGAUAAUAUAAGAACAGCAUAGAAUCCUAAUCAACCAAAACUAUGUACUCAAAAGGACAAUUAAUAGAGCUCAAACUUAUUGAUCAUACCCUGUCAGUCUAUCCUCCUCGAUCUUACGGAUUCCUCUGAAAAACUAAGAACGAGGUGAUGGCGUCGAGCCCAGAUCUACAAUAAUCACACUUCAUAAUCCUCUAGCUAAAUAAUAUAAACUAUAUCAGAAGAGCUUACCACUAGCUGCAUAUUGUGAAUUCAAAUUUCAGAAAAUAAAAACUUAAACCAUAUACAGUUGAUACAUAUAUAGACUCUUAUUUCCUGUGGCCAAAAAGAAAUUUAACUGCACACAUAAAUCCAAUAAAUAUUGUAGGUAUAUAGACCUAUCCACCAGCCGAUACAGCUUCUCAUAUCAAUAUUGCAAAUUGCAAUUCACUUCCUUUAUUAGCAAUAAUAAUAAGAAUAAGAAUAAGAAUAAUGCAACCAUCAAUACCUAAUAAUAAAUUUUCUAAUUAAGACAAACAAUUAAAUACACAUAUUUUAUAUAUACCUAUAUCCACUCCAGUAUAAGUUGUAUCCGUUGUGCACCAUCUUUCUUUUCCUCAAAAUCUUCCUUCUGCUGAAAAAACUGCUAAAACUGCAAUCUAGUAACUUCGAAACUGUAUAAAGUGGCCAAAAAUUAGUACGGCAUUGACAAGUAAAGGGGAAAAGACAUAGGAGGGGGGUUUCUAUGCGCAGAAGAUAGGGUUACAGACACAAAGGGGCAAUUAGAGAGAUGCGAGUACGUGUCCGAUCGGAAGAAUUGGUAUAAUAUUAUUCAAUGUUAACUGUGUCUGUGAGAGUUACUGGUUAGCAUAAUAUGGUUAUUUAUAAGUUACAGUACAACUUGACAUGUUGGUUUGUUAUUUUCAAUGCUACUCAUAGCUGUUGUACGGAAAUUCAAGAAGAUCUCAAAUUCUCAAAUCUCUAUGAUGAAG